AAUGCAGACAUGAGUAGCGAGAGACGGGUGAAGAUCCCGUCCGCUGGAUGACCAAGGGUUCCAGGGCCACGUUCAUCGUCCCUGGGUGAGUCGGGUCCUAAGGCGAGGCCGACAGGCGUAGUCGAAUGGAUGAACGGGUCGAUAUUCCCGUACCGGCUUUCAGCCGCCAAAACCGAGGCUUGGAGUACUAACCUCCGGGUCCGGGCUUACUGCUCCUUCGGGGGCGGGAUGCCCUGGCCUGUUGGGACCGAUCCUUGUAGUAGGUCAGCGCAGGAGUGACGCAGAAGGGUAGCCGGCCGCGGAGGUGGUCUUCCGUGGUCAAGCACGCAGGGCGUGGGACAGGCAAAUCCGUCCCGCAUGGGUCCGAGGUGCGAUGAUGGGGGCCUUAUGGCCCGAUAUCCGGUGAUCCCGGCUGCCGAGAAAAGCUUCGGCGUCAGGCUCAAAGCCGCCCGUACCCCAAACCGACACUGGUGGUCAGGUAGAGAAUACCAAAGCGAUCGAGCGAAUCCUGGUCAAGGAACUCGGCAAAUCACUCCCGUUCCUUCGGUUUAAGGGAGACCCCCGAUGGUGAACACACUUGCUGUGGGAGCUUUUGGGGGUGGCACAGACCAGGGGGUAGCGACUGUUUACCAAAAACACAGGUGCAUGCGAAGGCGCAAGCCGCUGUAUAUGCACUGACGCCUGCCCGGUGCCGGAAGGUUAAGAGGAUCCGUCAGCCUUCGGGUGAAGCGGUGAAUUCAAGCCCCGGUAAACGGCGGUGGUAACUAUAACCAUCCUAAGGUAGCGAAAUUCCUUGUCGGGUAAGUUCCGACCUGCACGAAUGGCGUAACGACUUCCCCACUGUCUCGACCAGGAGCUCGGCGAAAUUGCAGUACGAGUAAAGAUGCUCGUUAAGCGCAGAAGGACGAAAAGACCCCGGGACCUUUACUAUACCUUGGUAUUGGCAUUCGGUGUGGAUUGUGUAGCAUAGGCGGGAGGCCGAGAGGCGCGGUCGCCAGAUCGCGCGGAGCCGUAAGGUGAAAUACCGCUCUGUUCGCAUUGGAUGUCUAACCUCGAACAGUCAUCCUGUUCAGGGACAGUGCCUGGCGGGUAGUUUAACUGGGGCGGUUGCCUCCCAAAGAGUAACGGAGGCGCCCAAAGGUCCGCUCAGCCCGGUUGGCAAUCGGGUGGCGAGUGCAAGUGCACAAGCGGGCUUGACUGCGAGGACGACGGUCCGAGCAGGGACGAAAGUCGGGACUAGUGAUCCGGUGCCGGUGUACGGACGCGGCAUCGCUCAACGGAUAAAAGGUACCCCGGGGAUAACAGGCUGAUCAUUCCCAAGAGUCCAUAUCGACGGGAUGGUUUGGCACCUCGAUGUCGGCUCGUCGCAUCCUGGGGCUGGAGCAGGUCCCAAGGGUUCGGCUGUUCGCCGAUUAAAGCGGCACGCGAGCUGGGUUCAGAACGUCGUGAGACAGUUUGGUCUCUAUCCUCUGCGCUCGUUGGAAUGCUGAGGAGGCCUGCCCAUAGUACGAGAGGACCUGGGUGGACGAACCUCUGGUAUGCCGGUUGUCACGCCAGUGGCACGGCCGGUUGGCUACGUUCGGAAGGGAUAACCGCUGAAAGCAUCUAAGCGGGAAGCCUGCUCCAAGAUAAGCAUUCCGUGGAACCUUCGAGUUCCUGUAGUCCCCAUGCAGAACACGUGGUCGAUAGGCCGGACGUGGAAGCCCCGCGAGGGGUGGAGCCGACCGGUACUAACGGACGAAAGGCAACACUA
rnacentral:rRNA from 1 species